rnacentral:rRNA from 1 species
AUACGGAGGGGACUAGCGUUGUUCGGAAUUACUGGGCGUAAAGCGUACGUAGGCGGAUCAGAAAGUAUGGGGUGAAAUCCCAGGGCUCAACCCUGGAACUGCCUCAUAAACUCCUGGUCUUGAGUUCGAGAGAGGUGAGUGGAAUUCCGAGUGUAGAGGUGAAAUUCGUAGAUAUUCGGAGGAACACCAGUGGCGAAGGCGGCUCACUGGCUCGAUACUGACGCUGAGGUACGAAAGUGUGGGGAGCAAACAGGAUUAGAUACCCCGGUAGUCC